UACGGAGGAUGCGAGCGUUAUCCGGAUUUAUUGGGUUUAAAGGGUGCGUAGGCGGGCUUUUAAGUCAGCGGUAAAAAUUCGGGGCUCAACCCCGUCCGGCCGUUGAAACUGGGGGUCUUGAGUGGGCGAGAAGAAGGCGGAAUGCGUGGUGUAGCGGUGAAAUGCAUAGAUAUCACGCAGAACCCCGAUUGCGAAGGCAGCCUUCCGGCGCCCUACUGACGCUGAGGCACGAAAGUGCGGGGAGCAAAUAGG
rnacentral:rRNA from 1 species